GAUGAACGCUGGCGGCGUGCUUAACACAUGCAAGUCGAACGGGAAUUAUUUUAUUGAAUCUUCGGUCGAUUUAAUUUAAUUCUAGUGGCGGACGGGUGAGUAACGCGUGGGUAACCUGCCUUAUACAGGGGGAUAACAGUCAGAAAUGGCUGCUAAUACCGCAUAAGCGCACAGAGCUGCAUGGCUCAGUGUGAAAAACUCCGGUGGUAUAAGAUGGACCCGCGUUGGAUUAGCUUGUUGGCAGGGUAACGGCCUACCAAGGCGACGAUCCAUAGCCGGCCUGAGAGGGUGAACGGCCACAUUGGGACUGAGACACGGCCCAGACUCCUACGGGAGGCAGCAGUGGGGAAUAUUGCACAAUGGGGGAAACCCUGAUGCAGCGACGCCGCGUGAAGGAAGAAGUAUCUCGGUAUGUAAACUUCUAUCAGCAGGGAAGAUAGUGACGGUACCUGACUAAGAAGCCCCGGCUAACUACGUG
rnacentral:rRNA from 1 species